UACGGGGGGGGCAAGCGUUGUUCGGAAUUACUGGGCGUAAAGGGCGCGCAGGCGGCUCAUUUUGUCAGGCGUGAAAGCCCCGGGCUUAACCUGGGAACUGCGUUUGAUACGGAUGGGCUAGAGUUCGGGAGAGGAGAGUGGAAUUCCCAGUGUAGAGGUGAAAUUCGUAGAUAUUGGGAGGAACACCAGUGGCGAAGGCGGCUCGCUGGACCGGAACUGACGCUGAGGCGCGAAAGCGUGGGGAGCAAACAGG
rnacentral:rRNA from 1 species